UACGUAGGGGGCAAGCGUUGUUCGGAAUUACUGGGCGUAAAGGGCGCGUAGGCGGCCUGCUAAGUCGGACGUGAAAUCCCUCGGCUCAACCGGGGAACUGCGUCCGAUACUGGCGAGGCUUGAAUCCGGGAGAGGGAUGUGGAAUUCCAGGUGUAGCGGUGAAAUGCGUAGAUAUCGAGAGGAACACCUGCGGCGAAGGCGGGUUGCUGGGCUGACACUGACGCUGACAGCGCGAAAGCUAGGGGAGCGAACGGG
rnacentral:rRNA from 1 species